rnacentral:tRNA from 2 species
GCGGAAGUAGCCAAGAGGUUUAAGGCGUUGGGUCGCAAACCCAAAGAUCGGUGGUUCGAAUCCAUCCUUCCGCU